rnacentral:lncRNA from 1 species
AACACAGAGAUAACACAGCUGCUGCCACAAAGAAUACAGCCUACCAAGGUAGAGCAGAGAUGAAACAAUUGUUGUACCAGACUAACACUUCUGUUGCUAUGUCAAGGAAUGCAGAAGAGAUGGUGAAGCGGAAUAUCUAUUCUGAGAGAUCCAAGAGUGAAUGUUAUGCAGAAGGUCAGCUACAGAACAAAUAUGAAUCUUCAGUUCAGUCAAGAACUUUACCAAAACCUACCCCAGUAAGUGGAAACAUUACAUUUUCUCUCUGUAAAAGUGAACAAUGAAAUCUCUUUGAAUAUGUUUUAACUUCAAUAAUACAUUCCAAUAUUAAAUUGUUCUCUUUCCAUGUUGAUUGUAACUUCCAUUGUUUGGUGUCUUCUCACAUUUCUUUAUUGUUUGUUUGUCAACAGAAAUACUGUCAACCUGUUGUGGUGACAUCAAGUGAUGAUGCUGUGGAAGAUAAUGCUACUAUGGUUUGUAACUAUACAUCAGAUACAAUGUCAUCCAAGAGAAGUGGUAGACAUGGAGACUUGAAACAUUAUGAAGAAAUACCAGGAGUAUCGGGUUAGUAACUACAUUGACAAUAUUUCACUUUGAUCCCUUCUUAAAUGUGAACUUUUCCAUUUUAACAAAUUUGUAGUUUAUUUUGAGUAACAUAUUUAUGAUUAUUAAACUAGGAGAUGCUUAUUUUAUUUUUAUUUUUCUGCCAAUUAAACACCUGCGCUACUUAUCCGAUCUUCACUAAUGUUUUUAUUUGUGUUACUUUUAGUUUCUAUGUCUGUCAAAGUUCUUUGAAAUAAGCAGGACAAUAGGAGACACAGGAGAGAGAUUGUCACUGAUGGAAUUUUGAUUGAUGUAUAAAUUCAAAAUAAAAUGAAUAAAAACUAGUGAAGAUUGAAUAGACAGUGUGUGUGUUUAGUUGGCAAAGAAAAGUGACCGUCCCCAAGUAUAACAAUAUCCUUUUCAACACAUGUGUUCACAUCAAGAAUCUUGCUAAAAAAACAUAUAAAUGUAAUAUAUUUACUAUUUUAUUCAUUUUUCUUUUCUUCUCAAAGCUUGAGAAUAUUUUAAGUUUUCAAUUUUGUUUGUUCUAAGAUUUUAUAUAUUUUUUUAUAUAUUUUGUUUGUGUAUUUACAAAAUUAUGAUACGAAAAUCUUUUGUAAAUCUUUAUAUUUUGUAUCUAAAUUCCAGAUCAAAAUAUAUAUAAAAAUAACGAUUCAUCAACAUCAAAAGACUGUAGUGAAGAAACACCUGUGAAACACGUGUAAUUAAUUAUAUUAGUGAAGUGACAUAACUACUCUUCUCUAUAUGAACAUAAGUGGCAGAGAGUGUUUAGUACAUAACCAACAUUAUAACAUACACAAAGACACACACAUGCACACAUUCAUAUAUAAAAUGCCUUUGCUAUGUAUACUGUAUAGCUGCAAUAUAUAUAUG